GAUGAAGAACGCAGCGAAAUGCGAUAAGUAGUGUGAAUUGCAGAAUUCAGUGAAUCAUCGAAUCUUUGAACGCACAUUGCGCCCUUUGGUAUUCCAAAGGGCAUGCCUGUUCGAGCGUCAUUUGUACCCUCAAGCUUUGCUUGGUGUUGGGCGUCUUGUCUCUAGCUUUGCUGGAGACUCGCCUUAAAGUAAUUGGCAGCCGGCCUACUGGUUUCGGAGCGCAGCACAAGUCGCACUCUCUAUCAGCAAAGGUCUAGCAUCCAUUAAGCCUUUUUUUCAACUUUUGACCUCGGAUCAGGUAGGGAUACCCGUUGAACUUAAGCAUAUCAAUAAGCGGAGGA
rnacentral:misc_RNA from 1 species